UUAAGUGACGAUAGCCUAGGAGAUACACCUACACCUUACCCAUGCCGAACACAGUAGUUAAGCCCUAGAACGCCUGAAGUAGUUGGGGGUUGCCCCCUGUGAGAUACGGAAGUUGCUUAGC
rnacentral:rRNA from 1 species